rnacentral:rRNA from 1 species
GACGAACGCUGGCGGCGUGCCUAAUACAUGCAAGUCGAACGCUUCUUUCCUCCCGAGAGCUUGCACUCAAUUGGAAAGAGGAGUGGCGGACGGGUGAGUAACACGUGGGUAACCUACCCAUCAGAGGGGGAUAACACUUGGAAACAGGUGCUAAUACCGCAUAACAGUUUAUGCCGCAUGGCAUAAGAGUGAAAGGCGCUUUCGGGUGUCGUUGAUGGAUGGACCCGCGGUGCAUUAGCUAGUUGGUGAGGUAACGGCUCACCAAGGCCACGAUGCAUAGCCGACCUGAGAGGGUGAUCGGCCACACUGGGACUGAGACACGGCCCAGACUCCUACGGGAGGCAGCAGUAGGGAAUCUUCGGCAAUGGACGAAAGUCUGACCGAGCAACGCCGCGUGAGUGAAGAAGGUUUUCGGAUCGUAAAACUCUGUUGUUAGAGAAGAACAAGGACGUUAGUAACUGAACGUCCCCUGACGGUAUCUAACCAGAAAGCCACGGCUAACUACGUG